GCCACGGUGGUCUAGUGGUCGGAACACUAGCCUUGUAAGCCUGGGGUCCCGGGUUCAAUUCCCGGUGGUGCUC
rnacentral:tRNA from 1 species